rnacentral:rRNA from 1 species
AUUGAACGCUGGCGGCAUGCCUAACACAUGCAAGUCGAACGAACCCUUCGGGGUUAGUGGCGCACGGGUGCGUAACGCGUGGGAAUCUGCCCUUUGCUUCGGAAUAACAGUUAGAAAUGACUGCUAAUACCGGAUGACGUCUUCGGACCAAAGAUUUAUCGGCAAGGGAUGAGCCCGCGUAGGAUUAGGUAGUUGGUGGGGUAAAGGCCUACCAAGCCGACGGUCCUUAGCUGGUCUGAGAGGAUGAUCAGCCACACUGGGACUGAGACACGGCCCAGACUCCUACGGGAGGCAGCAGUGGGGAAUAUUGGACAAUGGGCGCAAGCCUGAUCCAGCAAUGCCGCGUGAGUGAUGAAGGCCUUCGGGUCGUAAAGCUCUUUUACCAGGGAUGAUAAUGACAGUACCUGGAGAAUAAGCUCCGGCUAACUCCGUGCCAGCCGCCGCGGUAACAC